UACGUAGGUGACAAGCGUUGUCCGGAUUUACUGGGCGUAAAGAGCGCGCAGGCGGUCGAUCAAGUCGAGUGUGAAAGCCCCCGGCUCAACUGGGGAGGGUCAUUCGAUACUGAUCGACUCGAAGGCAGGAGAGGGUAGUGGAAUUCCCGGUGUAGUGGUGAAAUGCGUAGAUAUCGGGAGGAACACCUGUGGCGAAAGCGGCUCACUGGACAGUAACUGACGCUGAUGCACGAAAGCUAGGGGAGCAAACAGG
rnacentral:rRNA from 1 species